UACGUAGGGACCAAGCGUUGUUCGGAUUUACUGGGCGUAAAGGGCGCGUAGGCGGCAAUUCAAGUCAGCUGUGAAAUCUCCGGGCUUAACUCGGAACGGUCAGCUGAUACUGCUUUGCUAGAGUGCAGAAGGGGCAAUCGGAAUUCUUGGUGUAGCGGUGAAAUGCGUUGAUAUCGAUAGGAACUCCGGUGGCGAAGGCGGCAUACUGGUCCACUUCUGACGCUGAGGCGCGAAAGCCAGGGGAGCAAACGGG
rnacentral:rRNA from 1 species